GAUGAACGCUGGCGGCAUGCCUAACACAUGCAAGUCGAACGAGACCUUCGGGUCUAGUGGCGCACGGGUGCGUAACGCGUGGGAACCUGCCUUUAGGUUCGGAAUAACAGUGAGAAAUUACUGCUAAUACCGGAUGAUGUCUUCGGACCAAAGAUUUAUCGCCUUUAGAUGGGCCCGCGUUGGAUUAGGUAGUUGGUGGGGUAAUGGCCUACCAAGCCGACGAUCCAUAGCUGGUUUGAGAGGAUGAUCAGCCACACUGGGACUGAGACACGGCCCAGACUCCUACGGGAGGCAGCAGUGGGGAAUCUUAGACAAUGGGGGAAACCCUGAUCUAGCCAUGCCGCGUGAUCGAUGAAGGCCUUAGGGUUGUAAAGAUCUUUCAGAUGGGAAGAUAAUGACGGUACCAUCAGAAGAAGCCCCGGCUAACUCCGUG
rnacentral:rRNA from 1 species